AAGGCUACACUUUCAGGGAUCAUUUCUGUAGUUUGUAAAGAAAACGUUAAACUCCAAAGCUAAUCAAUACAGUCCUUUAUGGAUUGGAGGACAUGUA
rnacentral:snoRNA from 1 species